GUAAGUACUACAGAGAAUAAGACUUGGGGG
rnacentral:piRNA from 1 species